UACGUAGGGCGCAAGCGUUGUCCGGAAUUAUUGGGCGUAAAGAGCUCGUAGGCGGUCUGUCGCGUCCGUUGUGAAAACUCGAGGCUCAACCUCGGGCUUGCAGUGGAUACGGGCAGACUAGAGUGCGGUAGGGGAGACUGGAAUUCCUGGUGUAGCGGUGGAAUGCGCAGAGUAUCAGGAGGAACACCGAUGGCGAAGGCAGGUCUCCUGGGCGCAACUGACGCUGAGGAGCGAAAGCAUGGGGAGCGAACAG
rnacentral:rRNA from 1 species